AACGAACGCUGGCGGCAGGCCUAACACAUGCAAGUCGAACGGUUGUAGCAAUACAGCCGUGGCGCACGGGUGAGUAACGCGUGGGAAUCUGCCCAGUAGUACGGAAUAACAGUUGGAAACGACUGACAAUACCGUAUACGCCCUUCGGGGGAAAGUUUUUCGCUAUUGGAUGAGCCCGCGUCAGAUUAGCUAGUUGGUGGGGUAAUGGCCUACCAAGGCGACGAUCUGUAGCUGUUCUGAGAGGAAGACCAGCCACACUGGAACUGAGACACGGUCCAGACUCCUACGGGAGGCAGCAGUGGGGAAUAUUGGACAAUGGGCGAAAGCCUGAUCCAGCCAUGCCGCGUGAGUGAUGAAGGCAUUAGGGUUGUAGAGCUCUUUUGGCGGGGAAGAUAAUGACGGUAACCGCAGAAUAAGUUCCGGCUAACUUCGUGCCAGCCGCCGCGGUAA
rnacentral:rRNA from 1 species